rnacentral:rRNA from 1 species
CCUACGGGCGGCAGCAGUAGGGAAUCUUUCACAAUGGGCGAAAGCCUGAUGGAGCAACGCCGCGUGCAGGAUGAAGGCUUUCGGGUUGUAAACUGCUUUUAUAAGCGAGGAAUAUGAUGGUAACUUAUGAAUAAGCAUCGGCUAACUACGUGCCAGCAGCCGCGGUCAUACGUAGGAUCCGAGCAUUAUCCGGAGUGACUGGGGGUAAAGAGUUCCGUAGGUGGGGUAAAAAGUAGCUAGGGGAAUCUGGUGGUUUAACCAUUCAAACUAUUAGUAAAACUGUUAAUGUAGAGUCCGGUAGAGGUAACUGGAAUUUCUGGUGUAGGAGUGAAAUCCGUAGAUAUUAGGAGGAAUACUAAUAGCGAAGGCGAGUUACUGGGACAUUACUGACGCUGAGGCACGAAAGCGUAGGGAGCAAACGGGAUUAGAUACCCGUGUAGUC